rnacentral:rRNA from 1 species
GAUGAACGCCGGCGGCGUGCCUAAUACAUGCAAGUCGAGCGAAUGGAUUAAGAGCUUGCUCUUAUGAAGUUAGCGGCGGACGGGUGAGUAACACGUGGGUAACCUGCCCAUAAGACUGGGAUAACUCCGGGAAACCGGGGCUAAUACCGGAUAACAUUUUGAACCGCAUGGUUCGAAAUUGAAAGGCGGCUUCGGCUGUCACUUAUGGAUGGACCCGCGUCGCAUUAGCUAGUUGGUGAGGUAACGGCUCACCAAGGCAACGAUGCGUAGCCGACCUGGAAGGGUGAUCGGCCACACUGGGACUGCGACACGGCCCAGACUCCUACGGGAGGCAGCAGUAGGGAAUCUUCCGCAAUGGACGAAAGUCUGACGGAGCAACGCCGCGUGAGUGAUGAAGGCUUUCGGGUCGUAAAACUCUGUUGUUAGGGAAGAACAAGUGCUAGUUGAAUAAGCUGGCACCUUGACGGUACCUAACCAGAAAGCCACGGCUAACUACGUGCCAGCCGCCGCAGUAA